rnacentral:lncRNA from 1 species
CACAGCCUCCUGACCAACCGACGACGGCUGCGACCGGCCACCAGCCCAGAUCUGAUUAAAAAAAGCGCUAAACUUCAGCAAGGCUCCCAAGCCUCCACGGCCCCUCACUUCCUCCUCCACGAGCCGCCUUCCCCGCCAAACCUCCGUGACUCCCGGCUCAGCAAUCCGAGCUCUCGGGAGCCCAGAAGGCGGCCGUGCCGGCGCGGAGGCUCGCUGGGCGCCCGCUGCGGCGGUGCCGAUGUUACGCGGCCCUCCGCAGGGCAGCACCGGGGCCGCCGCCCCGCCGCGCGGCCUGCCCGCCUCCCGCCCGCCACUCACCAGGAUGCGCUUGAAGAGAGCGUUCUCCUUGGGCGGCAGGCUGACCGACGGCAUGGUCCCGCCGCUCCGCUCCGCUCCCGCCGAGAGGCUCCGGGAGGGGUGGGGGGGCGGGCGGGCCGCGUCCCGUUCCCGCUGCUCGCUCGCCGCCGCCGGGAGCCUUCCCCCCCCCGCCGGAGCCUGGCCGCCGCCUCCCCACCCCCGCCGGCCCGCCCCGCGGCUGCCGCGCUCUCCGUCCGCCGGCCGCGGGCCCGGCCCCGUGCGCCCGCCGGGCUGGGCUGCCCCGCGCCGAGCCCCGGGCGGCGCUCACGUGGUCACGGAGCAGGCCGGAGAAGCGCCGCCAAAAUGGCCCCCGCGCGCGGCUUCCCCAGCCGGGUCACUGCGCACAGCGCGCAUGCGCCGCGACCCCGCACCGGCCCCGCACCGCCCCGCCCGGUGAGUCACGCGCCGCCGCAGCGAGGGGCUUCAGUUUUGAGCGCGGCCUUAAAGGACGCGGCGUCUCCUGUAACCGCAGCUGCCCGCGCGCGGUGCAGUCGUACUGCUCGUGCGCGGCGUCCCGCAGAACCGCUUCUUCCGCGCCCAGCCGGACGCGCGGGCUCCGCCCGGCCGGCAGGGGGCGCCCUUUGGCGCAGCCUGCGCGACCGCGACCGCCCCGCGCCCGGCGGACAAGAUGGCGGCGCCGCUGAGGGCGGCGAAGUGGCUGCGGCUGGCGGGUGGCGGGCCCGGCCUCGCUCUGACUCGUUCUGCGUUUUUCGCAAGAAAGCGUGUGUAUGA